UUUAUAUCAGAUUAGGGCAACACUAUGCCAGUUUGCUCAUGGUUAUGCGUUUAAAUGUAUGUGACUACACCUGUAUGUAUGCUUAUGUAUAUUAGCCUAUUAACACUUUUACUUG